rnacentral:tRNA from 1 species
GCUUAGGUGGCUCAGUCAGUUAAGCAUCUGACUUCGGCUCAGGUCAUGAUCUCACAGUUCGUGGGUUCAAGCCCCGCUUUGGGUU